CCUACGGGAGGCAGCAGUGAGGAAUAUUGGUCAAUGGACGAGAGUCUGAACCAGCCAAGUAGCGUGAAGGAUGACUGCCCUAUGGGUUGUAAACUUCUUUUAUAAAGGAAUAAAACGAGGCACGUGUGCCUUUUUGCAUGUACUUUAUGAAUAAGGAUCGGCUAACUCCGUGCCAGCAGCCGCGGUAAUACGGAGGAUCCGAGCGUUAUCCGGAUUUCUUGGGUUUAAAGGGAGCGUAGAUGGGUUGUUAAGUCAGUUGUGAAAGUUUGCGGCUCAACCGUAAAAUUGCAAUUGAUACUGGCAGUCUUGAGUACAGUUGAGGUAAGCGGAAUUCGUGGUGUAGCGGUGAAAUGCUUAGAUAUCACGAAGAACCCCGAUUGCGAAGGCAGCUUACUAAACUGUGACUGACAUUGAUGCUCGAAAGUGUGGGUAUCAAACAGGAUUAGAUACCCGGGUAGUC
rnacentral:rRNA from 1 species